UGCGAUGUGGAUUAGAAGAAACUGAUGAACUUUUGGAACAUAGAUUUCUACAAGGUCUUAAUGUAGAAAUUCAGAACAUUCUUGUUGAUAAGUAUUAUAACACCUUUGAUGAAUUGUUUGAUCUUGCUUGUGAGUUAGAAAGGGAUCUCGCAAGUAUUAUAGAAGUACGUGUCUCUCCUAUUACUAACAAUUUGCAGCAACACGAAGACAACAUACACAUGGAAAGCGUGCAACUUGAGAUACUAGAUGAGUCAUUUAAAGAGAGCGUAAAUCUAGCUGCACCCAC
rnacentral:lncRNA from 1 species